UACAUUGUGGUUCAGUGGUAGAAUUCUUGCCUUCAAUGCAGGAGUCCUGGGUUUGAUUCAGGCCAAUGUAC
rnacentral:tRNA from 1 species